rnacentral:rRNA from 1 species
UACGGAGGGGGCUAGCGUUGUUCGGAAUUACUGGGCGUAAAGCGCACGUAGGCGGCUUUGUAAGUUAGAGGUGAAAGCCCAGGGCUUAACCCUGGAAUUGCCUUUAAGACUGCAUCGCUAGAAUCGUGGAGAGGUGAGUGGAAUUCCGAGUGUAGAGGUGAAAUCCGUAGAUAUUCGGAAGAACACCAGUGGCGAAGGCGACUCACUGGACACGUAUUGACGCUGAGGUGUGAAAGCGUGGGGAGCAAACAGG